rnacentral:lncRNA from 1 species
UCUCUCUCUCUCUCUCCUUUUUCUGCAGUGCUCAGCCAAGUCAGUGAUCCUGGCUUUGGACUUGAGGUCUUUAUAUGCUGGACUUCCAAUGGCAUGUGCACACAUACUAGAUGCCCUCGCUUUUCUUCCAAGAGUGGACAAUGUGGGCAAUUUGCUAUUUGCUGUACAAGAGCCCAUGGAGUAUCUGGAGCUCCAGCUAUUUCUUCAUUUACAACAUCCUGUCCAAUAGAAAUGUGAAACCAUUCACCUGGAUUUCAAACAACGUGAAAGGAUUCCUCGUACUCCAGUGUCUGCUGCUUUCCACUGAAAUAAACACAGCAUUAGUGAGCUAUG